GGAGGGGUGUGGGAGGAAUAUUUGACCAUGCCAUUAUCAUUUUGUUUCUCUCUUUAAAAGUUACUUUUGAAGAAGACAUUGACUUAAAAAGUCCUGGGGGUUUUGGGAAGAAAGGAGAGGGGUGUUAGAGGAACUAGUAAAGAAUGUUCUGGAUGACCAUUUAUUUUUCUCUGCCAAAAUUUUGAAAUAAGCUGGACAUGAAGCUUUGCAUUUUCAAAAUGAUGCCAAGCCUUCAGAAAUGAAGGCCACGGUUGACACUAUUAUACUUGGUUAAGUUGGGUUUAGCCAUGCUUCCGGUUGGGUAGAAUCUUUGAAAAUGGAGGAAAUAGUUUUAUUAGUGAAUUGGUUUGGGUUCAGCAAUCUUUUUAAUUGUGCAUGUGGUUAAUGUGAGGUAGGGCUUGGUAUUUAAGACAUAAAAAUUUGUUUUAUGUGGAGAAACUUUCACUUUUUGUUAAAGAAUUUAGAACUCUUCUUCCAUCUUUGCCAUAGAACCGAAAGUCUUUUUACUUUUUAAAAUUUUGUCAGGCCAGCCAUGAAGGAGCAGAUGAGUGAUCUUGGUCAGAGCUUGGGAAUGCCUCCAGGUGAAGUAUUUCUAUUUUGGAUGUGUUUCGCACUCCCACGCACCCAGACCUGCAACCAAAGAAAUGAGAAGGCUUGAAGUGUAUAGAUGCCUAAGUCAAAUGUUCUGCUUAAUCUUUACAGUGGAAGUCAUGGGUAAUGUUUGCAUACCUGAUGGAUGACAUCAAUGGGUAUAUAUAGAGUAAGGAGGGGACCUGAUCUCUUAUUUGAAACCAAGUUUGUACGUUAUUUUAGUUUCUCAUCUUUCUGUUUGUCAUUUCCCCCCCUAAAAUAUCAAAAAUAGAAUGAACAAGACUUACGAUCCAGUAUGGUUUGUACUUAUGAUUUUGCAAGUGGUCUUUGGGGCAAUGGCAAUGGGGCGAGAUACAGGGGCCAAGUUCCCCCUUCCCAGAAUUUCCUAGAACAAAAAAACAAAAUGUGUUUUGGCAUGGAGUUUCUAUUUCAUUAUCUUGCCCUUUACCCAUAAGGUCAUGUUCAUUGCGGUCACUGAUCCCCUCAUGGUUUUGAUAAUUCUCAAUUUAGUUGUUUGGGAGGACCAUUAGGGUUGGGAUUUCAGGAAAAAUUGAAUAUUUGACCAUGCCAGUAACAUAUUAUUUCUCUCUCUAAAAAGGACUUUUGAGGAAGAUGUUGACUCAAAAAGGUCAUGGGAGGUUCUUGGAAAGGAAGGAGACGGGGGUGUGUGGGUAGCCCAAGUGGUAAGGGCGAACUUGCGUGCAUGAGUAUUAUGUCAUAGGUUUGAUUUCUCUUUGGAUCAAAUUGCGAUUUAUCUCAAUGAAUCGCAAUGAAAGGUGUCAAGAAAUUCCUCAUCUUUAGUCGAAGUUGCCAAGAAGAGGAUAAUGUGUAAUUUAUCUCAAUGAAAGGUGUCGUGACAAAUGGAUAUUUUACAUUGGCCAAGAAGUAGAAAAUGAUAAAAUCAAUUCUAGUAAUCACAGAAGAUAUUAAGAUUUAAGUGGUUCCACUUGAACAAAGCUUACUUUCAUGGCCAUGAAGUAGAAAAUGAUAAAAUAAAUUCUAGCAAUCACACAAGAUGCUAAUUAAGAUUUAAGUGGUUGCGCUUGAACAAAGCUCACUUUCAUCCACUAAUCAAAAGAUGAAGUAUUAGAGAUCUAGUGGUAACAAAUUAUUUAAACCAAAACCCUAAUACAAGCUUCAAAAUCUCAUUACAGGGAAACUCUCGAUCAGCUAUCUCUCACUCUGCGUAUAUGUUUUGCUCUCUCUAUUGCUUGAUUUCUACCCUUCAGAUGUAUUCCAUUUAUAACGAGAGAUCUAGACCAAUUCUUACUCAUAGGACGCAAGGAGUAGAAGGCUUAUUUUCCACGAGGCAAUCAUUUAUAAAUACCUUCAACUGUAUGUAUUCCUCCUGUGAAAAAAGGAAGUCAAGUCAAUUACCAAAAGGACUUUUUAGGAUCUUGUAAGAAAUAUGGUAUCCAAUAUAUGGAACAACCAAUUCUUUCCUCCAUUUUCAAAGAUUAUGCCUUUACACUAGAGAAAAUAAAUUCUAGCAAUCACACAAGAAGAGGAUCAGUCUGUGUACGUAAUUUAUUUAUUUUUUAUCUCAAUGAAAGGUAAAGCAUGCAAGAACGUCAUUUAUAAGAAACUCAUCAUCUUUCUUUUUAGUUGCCAAGAGGAGGGCUGGCCCUGUGUAAUUUAUUACAUAUCUCAAUGAAAAGUACUGCAAGGAAGUGCCCAAGAAACUCAUCAUCUUUCUUUAUCAAAUGUAUAUCCAUUUUCUAAUGCAAUUUUCAACUUCUGAAUUCCCGAUUUAAGGAGAGUCUUUUAGUAGUAAUCCACCACAGAUAUUUGAACCAAUUUUCAACUGGGCAAGCAAUUUAUGCCGUUAGGAUAUCGUUUUAAUCAUUUAGUGUAUCCUAAUUCCAUUAGUGAAUUGAUAGUAAUAUUUUGGUUGAGGAUUUUGUGUUUUGGCAUUGAGUGUAUCAUGUCCUUGUAUCCAUAGGGGAUGGGCAUGGCAUGCAUAUUCGUUGCGGUCACCAAUUCCCUCUUGGUUUCAUUAUCAUGUCCUUGUACCCAAGGAAGUUUUUGGGUCCGUUCAUUGGUUUGCCUUGUGAAAACUCUAGGUAAUUUUUUCUCUCUUCUCCUUCCCCCGGGGUGGGAUUUUGGAGAAAGUUGAAUUUUCGACCAUAUCAUGAGUACUCUAUAUAUAUCAUUUUAUUUCUCUCUUUAAAAAUGACUUUUGAUCAAGAUGUAUUUGACUCUACAAGUCAUGAUGGGGUUUUUUUUUGGGUAGAAAUGAGAGGGUGUUUGUACGUGGGAACUAGCAAAGAAUGUUAAUCUGGAUGGCCAUUUAUUUUCUCUACCAAAAUAUUAAAUUGGUUAAUUUGGGUUUGGCCAUUGUCAAUUAGAUUAUCUUAUAUAUAGUCGAAAAGGACAUUCACUAUUUAAUAAUUGCCAUUGUGCUUAAUCUAGAUGGUUAGAUCAAAUGUCACAAUCAAAGAAAUAAAAAAUAAGAAGCCAAAACGGGAUUAUGGAUGAUAUAUCAGUACAAUCUCUAGACUUUAAAAGGAGAAAAAGACAGAUUUUAUACGUCUUUCUUACUUUAGCUUUUAGAUUUCCACAUAAAUUUCAAGUGAUGUUUAUCUUUAGACUUUAAUCCAGGAUUAGAACAAUAGUAAAUACUUAUGGAUGAUGUUCAUGUUUAUGAAGUUGAUAUCCUGUUUCAAGAUGAGCUGACUAAUACAGGGAGUGCUUUGUUUUGGAGGGUUUAUAGUCACCAGUUAUAGGAAUGCUUUAUUUGUGAAAUCUUAAAAAACUAUGUAUUUUAAUAAGUGUGUCUUGAGUUUCUCAUGUCUUCUAUAGAAUGUGGUUCAGAAUACUAUGCCCACAAGAACUCUUUUUAAAAAAAUGAGUUUCUCAUGUUUUUUAAAAUUCUUGUUUUAUAAGAAUUUUGCUUUUGAUCUGUGCGAUUGGAUAAUCAUGAUGAUACCAAAAGAGUUGUAACUUACUCUUGUCCUGCUUAAUGAAGAACCAUGCCUGCGCCAAGAGCUUGGAGAGUUACCGUGUGAAACGGUAUCUGUGAAGUCAUCAUUUUCUUUCUUAAUGUCUUAAUUAUUUUUUUCUGCAGAGCAGAGUUCAAUGGUUACUGUGAUGCUUACUGGCUGGGCCGGUGAACUGGCAUGCUUAGAUCGAUAAUUGCUCAUGUUUCAAUAAUGUCAAUAUUGAUGGCAAACUUUUGUCUGACUUGGCUAUAAUACAGAGUCGCUAAGAAGAGUAUCACGCGUAUUUUAUUAUUUAUCUCAAUGAAACUAUGAAAGUACCUCA